UUUCUUUGACUCCUUGACACAAUAAAAAAAGGCUUAAAGAUUUUUUCCACUGGAACUUACAUAUAUCCUGGAGUUAAUGUGUGUAUCUGAGGAAGAGAAGAACUUGAUCUAAGUGGUUACUUUUACUGUUUUGGAUUCUUAUACAUUACAAAUUGUCCAUAUCGAAGAAUCUGGAUUGAUUUAAUCAUCACAGGCAAGGUUACACAGAGUAUCCUCAGUACGUGUCCAUCAUCAUAUCUUUAUGGAGAUCAGUGCCCUCAUACUGAUUUACAUCAGCCCAGGGUUUACCUGGUAACUUCAGACCCUAGCUCUCUCAUGCUGUACGCUUCUUACCAGGUGAGAGGUGGCAAGAGAUUCUGUCAUUGCCCUUGCCCUUUAUGGUGGUGUUGGUGCCUCCGUUGCCAGCACAAGACUGGACCUGUUUCUGUGCUUGGGGAACGCAGAGGGCUGCCAAGAGCUGAUGACUGCCAAGGAUAACUGAUUACUAGGAAUGCAAUGAGGAAGUUUCUUGAUGGAAAUUCCUUUGCUUUGGAGUGGCUAGCUGUACCAGUGCUUUGAACUCUGUGCCUCAGCAGCAACUCACACAGAAAUGGCACUUUAGAAACCUGUGCUGGCUUGUGCUCUUCCUCUUCCCCCUGGAUCUAUCAGGAAAAAACUUUCUCAU